rnacentral:lncRNA from 1 species
CAGAAAAGAUGCACAAAACCCCAACUGAAUGAAGACGUGCCACACACUCUGCCAACAGCUUCUCCUCUCUCAAUCUAGGAGCCACCACUGAAAUCAGCACUUGCUUGAUUGGAUCAGCCAUGAUUGCACACUACUUCAUGAAGCUGCGAAGAAUGUGAUCUUCUAUGGCUGGGACACAAGUGACAUCUGACUGUUGUAGUUCCAGGAUGGCAU